GCCGUCGUGGAAGUCGGUGUUGUUUCUCGUUGGUUGUGGCAUUUAGUGAUUGGAUAGUGGUUCAAGGAAGUGUCUGCAAGCCAGCGAAAUCCAGCAUCGACCAAGACAUCUAGUACCUUUCUCCCCUCUCUCUUACAGCCUGGGAUUGCAUCUCGGCGAUCUGAAGAGGUAGAGAAGUUCUGUUUUCUAUUAUUUUAUAAAAAAAAUUAUUAUGUAUUUUAUAAAACAAAAAACACCAUCACACGCAGCUUUAUUAAAGCGCAGGUGAAGAUAAAUCGAUUUAUUUUGCUGAUUUUUAGCAGCUAGAGAGAUAUAAUCCACCGAACGUCAACUGGGAAACUAUUCAAACAAACUUUUCACAAAAUGCACCAACAACCUCCUAAACGGUCCACCAAAGAAAACCGUCGGCUUGAGCCCAAAAAGAAAAGGUCACUUGCAAUUACAGCCAGAAGAAAGGCACUGACGAAAAGAAGAAAGUCACAGCACCCUCCCAACGGGAAGACGAACAAAUUUCAAACAAGAAGGCGAGCGAAUCCGAUGAGUCAUCUUUUGUCCCUCGAUUGCUUGGAGACACAUUCACACGCAGGAAAAGAUAGCUGACAAAGCUACGCCCCGUGAGGCGCGCGUCCUAACCCCUAAAAAAAUUUCUUUGUAGAUUUUUGGUUCUGUUCCAUUUCUCCUCGAAUUUUGCUUACUUUAGGUACCGUGUUUUGCACCGUCAGCUUUGCCACAAACGCAACCUAACGCGUCCGUGGAGGAAUAUGUAACUGACGACAGGCAGACGUUACGACGAAGCACAAUGAUCGAGAGACUGGGAUAUAAGAGCAUACCAGCGCUGUACGCACGGCAAGAUCGGUGAAUCAUCUCACUAUUUCUAUUGAUUGAUUUCUGGGCGUAGUAUUACAUGUGGACGGCAAGCUCUAGAGGCUCCGUCGCGGGCUGCAUUCUAACUACUAGAAUUUCUUUGUAGAUUUGAGUGUUAGCGAAGAGAAUAAGUGAGCGCCAAGAUCUAUUACCCCCUAGCCACACCGGUCUGGAGAAGAUAGGCUAUGCCUUCCCGGAGUUCAUACUGAGAAAACGAACACGUCACCAAGCGGAUCAUCAUCAUACAAACGCGCCCAAAGGCGGCGGAAGAACGGUGAAUCGUCUCGUGUUUUCCAUUGGUUGAUUUUUGGGCAUAUAAAAAAGGGCGACGGCUCAGCUCUGAGAGGCUCCGUCGCGGGGCUGCAUUCUAACUACUAGAAUUUCGUUGUAGAUUUGAGUGUAAGCAAAGAAGAAGAUAUAUCCCACCUUGGAGAUUACAGGUGGGUGGUAUUGCCCUAUCACGAUGGUUACGUUUGCCAUGUUCUAUUCCCCCCCUUGGAGAUUGGUAUGUGCUGCCCGUCCGGAUUUCGAGCUGAUACUGAUUGAACGAACCACACACCACCGACUGGGGACAUCUAGUUCUACGUAAGGCGGAUCAUGGGUGAAUCGUAGCGAAAUGUUGGUUUGAAUGAUUUUUGCGGGGUGGCGGUUAUCUUGGACGGCAUGCCAUUAAGGUGUCCGUCGCGGCGGUAUUCUAACUACUGGGAGUUUCUUUUGUAGAUUUGAGUACGCGAGCGAUGGAUUAAUGCCCUGUGUUAUGUUCGAGAUGAUACUGUCCCCAUUACGGGCGCCUCACUGUGCGAUCGAGAGGUCUAUUUCUCCCCUUGCGUGCGAUGUCCACCCGGCGGUUUCCUAGAGCUCUAUAUCAGCGUCGUUUGGAGAAGAUCCACAUCACCGGGAUGACUGGACCUUGUCACAUUCACCACAACCCCUCCCCUCUCAGGCAGAAGAUCGAUCGGCGUAUCGGUUUGCUCAUGCACCCUUAUCUGCUGGAAAGCGUCGCUCCAGCCCUUGGGAUACACGCGUUCACUUCAUCACGACUGACUUCGAAGGAUAUUUUUUUUCGCCCGGGUUUUGGCUGGUUACCUACAUUCGCGAGCAGUGCUGCUUUUGAAGGCAGAUCGCCGAGGAUUCGAGUAACCUGCGUUUUGCCCCGAUCUGGAUGGACCGCGCUCCGUCUUGUGACAGUGAUGAUCCAGCACGACGCUGUUGGUUCGCUCGCAGAGGCAGCAGUAUUUCGUGUGCCACCAUAUUUUGAUGUACUCCGGCUUUAUCCCGCGAUGGAGAAUGGCAGCAAGAAGUAACAGCGGAACACCAGUGAUAUACAUCCCUGUCUAAAGGGAAUUGGAUAAUAGCACACCUACAACACACACUCUGCAUUAAAAUAAAAAAAUACGAGGAUUUGGAACUGGAGGCAUACUACCAGAAGUUGCUCCGGUAAACAGUUGUCUUGGGCAGUUGUACAGAUGGUCUCUGUGACGCAAUUCCAUCGAGGCAUCUGGCACGGUGCACAAUUCUUCGUCCCGUCUCAUACCAUGGAUACGACGAGGAAAACAGGCAUUGUGAAUCACAGUGAAAUGUUGGCAUGAAUGAACUUUACCGAUUUGAAGUGUGAUCGUGCGAAAACGGUGAUGCAACGUUCCUCAUUUCGUAAACGAAAGACAUCGGAGUGAACGAAUUUGGUUUGAAGUAUUCUAUAACCGAGCCGUUCCUACGCAACCCCUGCAAGCGUGCUCGUCCAAUCAGCAGAGGAGAAUCAAUGGAGUCAUACGAAUAUGAUAGUUUUUGAUUGUGAAUAAUGUAGCUGACUAGGCGUAGCCUUGCCUGUACACAGCGAAGCAGACCCUGUUAGUUGAUGAAUAUACGCCAUGUGCUACAAGCUGGUUUAGGCCACUAUACGAAGGCGCCAGCGAAAUAUUUAGGAAUCAGUAUCGACCGAAAAUCGUACGAAACCUGCCCAUUUCAUGUUACACAGACAUCAUGUCACCAUCAGAGAGAGAGAGAGAGAGAGAGAGAGAGAGAGAGAGAGAAAAGGGGAAGAGAUAAUCAUUGUAAUUGUUCGUCUAUAAUCUGAAUGAUCGUAGCUGAAAUGCUCAAAACCAAAAUUCCUGUAAACUACAGGCCGGAUUUGAUGAUAAAACUUCACGCAUGUGUUGGUAGUAGUAGGAAACUAUUUCGUUCGGGAUUGGAAUCGACAUCAAUCACAUCUAUUAUGCAGCCAGGUUGAGCGGGAUAUACAAAAGAAGCCACAACAAAUCAUCGCUACAAGCGUUAGUGAACUCGAGCUUCAAAUGCAAAAGUUAUCAAAGCAGUACUGGUGAAUUACAACGAAGCACCAAUCAACACUAGGAUGUAUUAGCACGCCUAUAGUCAGCAUGAAGAUGAUUUGUUACACGGACACACAUGGUGCAACUACUAAUCGUAGCUUGUGUAAACGAAGCGAACGAGUUGAUUUCAACUGGAUUGCUGAAUGAAUCUUGGCAUGGCAGCACAGCAAACGUUUUAGUAUCAAAUGAGUUUGAUGAUCGUAGUGAACGUAGUAAGCGGCGGUUCUAUGCGGCGUUCCUUGGCGUGUACUACCUGCAGCUGUGAUCGAUUUUGUUCCAGCUGUUUGAGGUUAGCUGCUUCUGAUCUUUACCCUGCUGUAAGAAGAAAGCACACCGACGACACACGUGUUUGCUGCGGCGGUGGUGCAAGAGUUUGGCUGUCGCUUUGAAACAGCGCUACUCAACGUAUAUAUCGUCCCGAGCAGAGGCUGCGGUGAUAAUGUCGCAAAGAGUUAAAAUAUUUUCGCCAGUGUCUUCAGUGUAUUUGGUUCCGGGUUCCGGGUAGGCGAUGGGGGGCGGUGGCGGCGGCGGCGGAGCCGGCGGUUCCAGCGGAAGGACAGGAUGUAUGGUUCUGCUUGGCAAGCGUGAAGAGUCCCCAGUGUACGGACGGUGCCUGGGGAACGGCCAGCGAGAAGAGAGCAAAAUCCAACGUCGUUACUACGCGGGGGGAGCAAAGGUGAUAUUUUUGAUCGGCCACAUCAAAAUCGCAACAGCUUUGACUACUCGUGCCACGUACAUAUUUCCGGCGGUAAGAGUCUAGUUGUUAAGCGAGAAAAAAAGGUUACGGCAGCGCAGGCACGGUUUAACAAAUGUUAUCGUAAUAAUAACCAAAAGGCCCGAUUUAGUAGACCAUAAACGGGAAAUAGCAAUGUUGUUAGUGCUUUAUGCGGUUUAUAAACACACAUUGCGCGCAACAACCUUAUGAAAGUCACACGGAUAUAAAAUAACAAACAUCGGCUCCAUUGCUUUGGAUGGCCGUAAAAUUCAAUGUAAGAGAAGUGACUGCCUUGCGUCUGCAGAAUUAUUUUUCCUUUGUGCGAUCUUUGGAAUUGCGAUGGAAUUUAGUUUUAUAACGAGCACAAACGAAGAUUUAUGCCGUGCAAAAGUUCCUAUCAAAACGGCUUCUUUCGCCGAUCAAUUAGUUUGUAAAAGAGUAUAUUGUCUGCACUUCAAGCAACUUAAAAUCAAAGCAAAAGGCAAGAAAUGUCGAACGUGAUUAAAAAACGCUCUCGAAGUUAUCCCGGGAAAGGAGAAUGAUAUCUCAUAGCUACUAGAAGAAGGAAAAAUGGAAUAACGACCUUAUCAUUAUGAUGCCGUAAAACGCAAACAAGUAUUGAACAAAAGACUGACUAAAAGCAAAUGAUAUGAUCAUUUUCAUAGUUAAAUCGUCGCUAAAAGUAUAUUACACACAAACACGUUGACGGAAACGAAGUUGGUGGAAGAUCCUGAUCAAACCAAAAACAAAACUUAUCAGAAGGAUUCGUUACUAAGCCAACGGCUCAUUCUGAAGGACAUGUGGGAAAGAGGGCGGGCAAAAAAAAAACAAUUUAAAACUAAAACACGAACAACGAAACUGAUAACGGUCGAACAGAAAAGAGGAAUCCAAUGGCUGUUUGCUGUCCCGGGGCAUGCGGCGCCCCCAUAUAUUAGCGUUUGCAUCAUUGAUGUCUUAUGGCACCAGAUGUUAGCUAACCCGGACGCAAAACUCCAAUGUCAAAUGUUGCUUUGCAAAGCUACUCAGAGCCAGAACGAGAAAUGAACACGUUGAAAAAUGUUUGUCAACCCCCAAGACCGUUGAGUGUUUCCGGUCACUUUAUGAUGUGCCUGAGAGAUGAUGAUGCUCGCCCAUCCAGCCUUUUUUGGUUGUUUGGGCAAUGGUUAAACAAGCGUACUGGAAAAAGAAUCGAGCAAAGCAAACGAGCAAGCUAAAAACAAAAGAAAAACAAAAUAGUCCAAUAAAAUUCCACUUUCAUUUCGAAACGAAGCCUUUCUUUCUGUUGUAACUUUUUGAUUGGACCAAGGAAACAAAACACAAACAUUCGAAUCGCUGGGUGUGCUGUCACCUCCAAACUAUUUUUUAUUGUUUGUUUUAUUUCGUCCUCACUCCGAGGAUACCAUUACUGUAUGGCGGCAACCUGUGUCUAUUCUAUCGUUUUUUCUCUCUUGCUUAUAUCCUCCGGUCCGGGCCCUAAAGGAGCCUUACGCUGAUCACUUCCUUUCAGUCGCCUGUCUCGUGUGGUUCGAUCUAGGUUGGGCCAGCCUGACGCGAUGCCUCUGAAAUCUUGUGACAGCGUGUGUGUGUGUGAGGCUUAAACUCAAGGAGCAAGCAAACAAAACAAGGAGGUUGAGGUUUGAAAGCGCGAAGAAAGAAGAGAAGAUGGAAAGAUUGCAAGCGAAUAUCACGGCAACAGUAAAGGGUAUCUCACGAAAGCGUUAAAGCAAGCCCGGUUACAAACAUGGUAAAUAUGGCAAUAAGAUUCUUACGAAUCGAAAUGCAACAGGUAAUGGUGAACUCGCCGGAGAAGAGAAAACACUGACACGGUUGUAAAUACGGUCGCACAUAACCGAGUUGUGCCCGUUACACGACACGCGAAAAGAAAGCUGCGUGAUAGAAGCAAACCAGCCAAUCGGAACAUUGUAAAACUAACCCUGACGCGAUCGAAAUCCAGAACCCCAGAAUGACACGCGGGCAGGACGAUGAUGUAAAAAGCCUAUCGUAUGUUUUCCAAACGAGACGCGGCUCCCCCCCGGAAAUGGUCGGGCCUCCUUUGCCCGUCUAUGGUAUGGCAAACGGUAUCUCAUCCAUGCCUCCGGUGGUUACGAAGAGCCUUUCGCGCAAAACCCGAUCAGUCCCGUUUCAAUUUUAGUCCCGUCCCAUAUCUAUCAGAAGAGGACCAACAGGGAGAAGAUGCUAGAAAGGCCACACGCGAGCGCACGAAAGGAUGCACAAGAUCGAGCUUAGAUACGAAGACACGGUCUGAGAAAGCAAACACUUGCGGCGAAUGAAACGAAAAAAAAAAUCAAAAACGGAGAAAAGACAAUCGAGAAAAACGUUCGCGUACUUCAAUCAAUCAAGGUAUCGCGAA